rnacentral:tRNA from 1 species
GGGGUUGUGGCUUAGUGAUAGAGUGCUUGCCUAGGAUGCGUGAGGCACUGGGUUCGAUCCCCAGCUCCUCG